GCAAGUCGAACGGUAACAGGCGGAGCUUGCUCUGCGCUGACGAGUGGCGGACGGGUGAGUAAUGCUUAGGAAUCUGCCCAGUAGCGGGGGACAACAAUCGGAAACGGUUGCUAAUACCGCAUACGCCCUACGGGGGAAAGCAGGGGAUCUUCGGACCUUGCACUAUUGGAUGAGCCUAAGUCAGAUUAGCUUGUUGGUGGGGUAAUGGCCUACCAAGGCAAUGACGGGUAGCGGGUUUGAGAGGAUGAUC
rnacentral:rRNA from 1 species